rnacentral:tRNA from 1 species
GCCCAGAUGGCGGAAUUGGUAGACGCGCUAGGUUCAGGUCUUAGUGAGGUUUUCUUCGUGGAGGUUCGAGUCCUCUUCUGGGCACCA